UACGUAGGGGGCAAGCGUUGUCCGGAAUCAUUGGGCGUAAAGCGCGUGUAGGCGGCCACGUUAGUCCGUUCUGAAAGCCCGGGGCUCAACCCCGGGAGGCGGAUGGAUACUGCGUGGCUCGAGUCCGGAAGAGGCGAGUGGAAUUCCUGGUGUAGCGGUGAAAUGCGCAGAUAUCAGGAGGAACACCAAUUGCGAAGGCAGCUCGCCGGGACGUUACUGACGCUGAGACGCGAAAGCGUGGGGAGCAAACAGG
rnacentral:rRNA from 1 species